GCUAACUCCGGGCCGGCUGUGGGGGGAAUAGGUGUGGUGCGGGGGUUGUCCGGAAUUAUUGGGCGUAAAGAGCUCGUAGGCGGUUUGUCGCGUCUGUCGUGAAAGUCCGGGGCUUAACCCCGGAUCUGCGGUGGGUACGGGCAGACUAGAGUGCAGUAGGGGAGACUGGAAUUCCUGGUGUAGCGGUGGAAUGCGCAGAUAUCAGGAGGAACACCGAUGGCGAAGGCAGGUCUCUGGGCUGUAACUGACGCUGAGGAGCGAAAGCAUGGGGAGCGAACAGGAUUAGAUACCCCAGUAGUC
rnacentral:rRNA from 1 species